rnacentral:lncRNA from 1 species
AACCAAAAGUUAAAUCAAACUUGUAAAUGGUAGUUGCAUGAAAAUUACGUACAAAUUUGGAUCAAAUGUGUCAUUUCCAACAAUCAGCCCAUUUAAACAAAACAAGUAUUUACAAACAUCUAUCAAUUCUAUAAAGCAAUACAUAUUGGAGCCUCCAUAGUGAUUCUCUCUCCUACAUGUUCGGCGCUGGCCAUACUCCAUCCGCCGCCCGCCAAUCGAUCCACCCCAAUCUCGCUGCUCCUAUCUCUGCAUCAUGCCUCAAUCGCGUAACAUCCCGCCCCUACUCUAACUCUUCUUCGCAGGUGCGUCAAUUUUCCUGGUUAUUGAUUUCAUUUUUCCUGUGACGUAGAAAUGGACUAUCAAUUUCGUCCGAGUUUCAAACUAUUUUGUCUUGAUUGUAAUGCUCAGCUGCUAACCAUGUAUAAGAAAGAGAGAUCUGGUUGAGUGAUGCUUGUGUAUUGUAAUGCCAUUAUUCCUACAUUUUUGUUCUGCCUUAAGUCUUCUAUCAAAUGAUUUUGUAUUAUGUAUUUAACUCGAGCAAACUGAAAAAUAUAACAGAAGUAUGUUGUCAAUUUCUUUGAAGGCCCUUACUUAUGCAUAACGACUCUUUGGAUUUCAUCAAGUUAAAAUUGCCUUGAUUGGCAUCCAUGCUGGAAGCACUGGUCUUAACUUAAUGUCAGCAUAAUUGAAAGUCAAAGUGCGUCUUAAUCUUCAUGGUAUUGUAUCUGUUGAAUCAGCAACGGUAAGCUCUCAGCUCUUUUUGAUGAAUUUUAUUUCUUAUGCUUACUGCUGAGUAGUGGGGUUUCUUUAGCGAAUUACUCUAAGAGCAAACUUAUGGUGAUAAGAUAAUAACUUUAUCUGAGAAUGGAUUGGCUCUUUGCUUGCUCUGCUGCUCUUGAGGUUUGCUAUUUGACUAUAUUUGGAAACGCUCGUGUGCGUGUGUGUUGUUCUUUUUCAUGUGAUGAAUCAUAACUCAAUGCUUAUGAGAUGAGAUUAUCUCGGUUGUGUAUAUAUUAGUUAUAAAUUUAGGUGGAUAUAUCAUAUAUGGGUUAUUCGCCUCUUUGUUAUUGCUGUCGUCGUCGUUGUUAUGGUGGGUCGGCCGUGCUGAUUGACGCGGG